CACGUAGGGGGCGAACGUUGUCCGGAUUUAUUGGGCGUAAAGGGCUCGUAGGCGGUUUAGUAAGUCGGUCGUGAAAGCCCGGGGCUCAACCCCGGGACGCCGGUCGAAACUGCUAUGACUAGGGUCCGGUAGAGGUGAGUGGAAUUCUCGGUGUAGCGGUGAAAUGCGCAGAUAUCGAGAGGAACACCAGUAGCGAAGGCGGCUCACUGGGCCGGUACCGACGCUGAGGAGCGAAAGCGUGGGGAGCAAACAGGAUUAGAUACCCCCGUA
rnacentral:rRNA from 1 species